rnacentral:rRNA from 1 species
UCCGUAGUCGGUUUGGCAAGUUCUCUGUGAAAUCCUGCGGCUUAACCGUAGGGCUUGCAGAGAAUACUACCAGACUUGAGGUCGGGAAGGGUCAGGGGUAUUCAUGGGGUAGCAGUGAAAUGCGUUAAUCCUAUGAGGACCACCUGCGGCGAAGGCGCCUGACUGGAACGAGCCUGACGAUGAGGGACGAAAGCUAGGGGAGCAAACAGGAUUAGAUACCCUGGUAGUC